GUCUCGCCUUCUUUACUAAUCAUUGAUAUUAUGUUGAUAGUCCUAAAUAUAAAGCUUUAUUACAACUGUCACAUAAACUUAACAUUAACCAAGUAAACUAAACAUUGACCAAUGAACCAUGAAAAUGAGGUCAAGGUCAGAUGAACCAUGCUAGACAGGCAUGUACAGCUAACAAUUCUUCCAUACAACAAAUAUAGUUGACCUAUUGCUUUUAGUUUAAGAAAAACAGACCAAAACACAAAAACUUAACACUGAGCAAUGAACCUUGAAAAUGAGGUCAAGGUAAAAAAAAAACUGUGUGACUGACAAAUAGAUCAUAAAAUAUUUCCAUACACCAAAUAUAGUUGAACUAUUGCAUAUAGUAUUAGAGAAAAAGACCAAAACUCAAAAACUUAACUUUGACCACUGAACCAUGAAAAUGAGGUCAAGGUCAGAUGACACCUGCCCGCUAGACAUGUACACCUUACAAUCAUUCCAUACACCAACUAUAGUAGGCCUAUUGCAUACAGUAUAAGAAAAACAGACCAAAACACAAAAA